rnacentral:rRNA from 1 species
GAGUUUGAUCGUGGCUCAGAAUGAACGCUGGCGGCGUGCCUAACACAUGCAAGUCGAGCGAGAAAGUUCCUUCGGGAAUGUGUAAAGCGGCGGACGGGUGGAGUAACACGUAAGAAUCUGCCCUAUAGUGAAGAAUACCUUCGAGAAAUUGAAGUUAAUACUGCAUGAGUCCCUUCGGGGAGAAAGACGUCUUUUAUGUCGUCGCUAUAGGAUGAGCUUGCGGACUAUCAGCUUGUUGGUGAGGUAAAGGCUCACCAAGGCUAUGACGGUUAACCGGCCUGAGAGGGUGUACGGUCACACAGGCACUGAGAUACGGGCCUGACUCCUACGGGUAGGCAGCAGUGGGGAAUAUUGCGCAAUGGGCGAAAGCCUGACGCAGCGACGCCGCGUGGAGGACGAAGGCCUUAGGGUCGUAAACUCCUGUCAGAUGGAAGAAAAGAUCCGAAUCUAAUAAAUACGGAUUAUGACGGUACCAUCAGAGGAAGCACCGGCUAACUUCGUGCCAGCAGCCGCCGCGGUAAUACC